ACUGCAGCAGCAGCAGCAGCAGCAGCUGCUGCUGCUGCUGCUGCUGCUGCGACACAGAGAGGAGAGUGUUUUUGUGUUUGUGUGUUGCGGUGUACAGACGAAGUAGUGAAGGCCCCAACCAUGUUAAACAAGUAAACCCU
rnacentral:snoRNA from 1 species